AACGGCCAUACCAUGCUGAAUAUACCGGUUCUCGUUAGAUCACCGAAGUCAAGCAUCAUUGGGCGCGGUCAGUACUUGGGUGGGGGACCACCUGGGAACACCGCGCGCCGUU
rnacentral:rRNA from 1 species